GUCCAAAAGCGAUUACUGCCAUUGCACACUUAAGAAAAUCACAAUCGUCUCUAUUUUUAUUUGUGAACGGAGUACAACAUCCGGGUACUAACCGCGCACUGAAUUUUACAGUAGUUCGCAUUGGAACGCACUUAUGAUCUCAGUGUUUACAUUGAGGUACGGACGUUUAAGGAUUAAUACCAACAAGGAAUGCUAAGGAGGCGUGGGAGUGUGCUUGAGCACCGGAAGUGGUCCGUCAUGUGACUGGGGCGAGUCAUAAUAGUAAUAUAAUAAUGGCUGCCACGGGAGAUGAAGCUGCUGCAAUGGACAGCAUCUCCAGGUCACCCGGAGCACAUUCGGGUCCUCUAAACGUCACGGUAGAAUGUACGAGUCAAGGGGGAGGCUCAGAGGACGCAAAGGAUGUACCAGUGCCCAUUACUAAAAAAAACAACACCAACAGUGAUGGUGGUGUGGAGACAGCAGAAGAGGCUGUGGAGCCCGCAGAGCCUGACAUCAACGAGUUGUGUACCGACAUGUUUGAAAAGAUGUCAAUAUUUCUUCAAGGAGAACUCACAGCCACAUGCGAGGAUUACCGUCUGUUGGAGAACAUGAACAAGCUAACUAGCCUGAAGUACAUGGAAAUGAAAGACAUCAGCAUCAACAUCAGCCGAAACCUGCAGGAUCUCAACAAUAAGUAUGCCAGCCUCCAGCCCUACCUGGACCAAAUAAAUCAGAUUGAGGAGCAGGUAUCUGCACUAGAACAAGCUGCUUAUAAACUGGACGCAUAUUCCAAGAAACUUGAGGCCAGAUUCAAAAAACUGGAGAAGCGUUGACUAUAUAACGGAUGAAGUGCUGCAGUACCGCCACCUCUUCUCUCACCCAGUCUGGCCUUCUUGACGUCGGGACAAAUGUGAGACUCAAAGACAUUUUUGACACCCAGGAACGGGUUAGUGAGCAUGGAGCAGAUGAAGGCUGUGGGCUUUGAACACCUAUAUCAUUGACGUGAAGAAGUCAAGCGCCUCAGGGUAUAAAUUCAGCUUCUCUCCUCCAAGAAUCUCACAAUUGGGGUCCAUGAAAUGAUUCUGGGUUUUGUAAACGCUGUAUUGGAUGCCAGCAAUCAGUCAAGCACAGAGAAGGUGACGUAGUAAUUAGGUAAAUGUUUCUUUGGUUACACUGUGAAAUUACACACAAAUGAGACUGCACAAUUACAAUACAGUUUGGGUGUGGAAAUCCACUGGAUGCUGUCCUAAACACUCAUUAGUGGUACAACGCAACAUGCCUAAUACUUACUAAUACCUAGUACCUGUCUAUACUGUGUCAAUUUGCCAAAUCAAAAUGCCAAAAAGAUGGACAAAGUGAGAACUAAAAGUGUGAUUAAAGACAUUGACUGACUGCAAGACUGCAUGUCAUAGCAAUCCCCACAUAACAUGCAAAUAUGCUGCCCUUUGGUAAUCGUUUGACGUAUAACUCCGCCGGUAGCUUUCCAGAACACACAUCUUGAGAAAGUAUUAAACAUAAAGUAGGGAGAAUCCGCCACAGCGCCCAAGCAUUUCACGCCAUAAAUCUAAACCUAAAGUGGAGACUGGGCCGUGGAACAAUAACAAGGCAGGAUGCCACGCCGCAGAGUUGUGUAACUACAGAGCGAGUGCAAAAUAUUGUGAAACUGUGUUUGUGACUGAGAGAGAACGCACAAGACACUUAAGAAAGCCCUUUUAAUGAGCACAUUUGUUUGGUGUAAUGUCCUAAACAAAUGGUAUUUUCUUGUGAAACUGAUGUGAAGUUCCUUUUCAUGCACUCAUGCACACACACAAUAUAAUAAACGGUAACGAAGACUACAAAUACAUAGCCUUUAGUUCUCAAAUCAAAUACUCAAAACUGCAUCUGUAUAUUUUUAGCAUUGUUUGAUACAGUAGCUGCGAAUUUCUCCCUUGGAGAUUAAUAAAGUAUCUAUCUACAGGAGUUUUCAACCUUAUUUCAUUAAAGUACCCCGUGUGGAAUCUUUUUUUCAGCCAAGAAAGACAUUUUUGGCUGAAAAAACCAAAUGUAAAACACAGCACUUUAUCUCUAUCUGAUUUAUUGCUGUCCAAAACAGUGCUCAGCUGUAGUGGUCUAGUUUGACCAUUUGGAAAUAAAAAUACAUAUGAAAUAACUUCAAUUGCAAACUUAAUUAUGCUCAAACUCUUUGUGCACAUAAUUAGCAACUUAAAAUGGGAUUAUAAUAAGGCUGUGUUGUUAAAUGCAAAUAAAUUUAAUAUUGUUUUUGUCUGGAGUUAACCUUGUCGCACACACAACCACACGAGCCUGCUUAACUAAGCUAACCCCUGUUAGCUUCAAUUCACAAAAUUCCACAAGCUUUUGCUGGAGUUUAUUGCCAUUUAAUCCUGUUUAGGUCUGAGGGGGGGAGGGCUGUUCAGUGUUUGUAUCCGCCACGAUUGAGCCAUCAGCUAGGGAAAUACACUCCUACAUGAACAUCCAAUCUCCUCAUGACGACAAUAUUAAUUGAUGUAAUAUCAAUUUCCAAGAGAUUCAGUGUUAAACAGUAAAUUAUGUUAAUAUUGGCCAAUUUUCGUGAACGCAGAAAUCUAUAAAACAUACCCAACUCCUGGUGUAUAAUCUCUUUGCAUCCCCCCCGCCCCAACAACUCUGGUCAAGUUCUGAGUUAUCUGAUGUUCACUAAUUGGAUGUGAGGCCUGGUCCAGCCCUUUACAGGCGAUGUGCCCAAUUUCGGCAAUGCUGUUGUGUUGA